AACACAGUCCCAAUUGUAGCCGAAAAACAUAGCCUGGGAACUAAGUUUCCUGGGUUUCUUUUUAGCAGCCGAAUCGCCAUUAUUUUGGUGGCCAUAUGCAUGCAAAAAGCUCCUGCUUUCCCCGUUGAAGACACUUGAACAAGUCUUAAAAGGGUUUAGUACCGAGCACGGGGCUGUGCGUUGGCGCUCGGGUAUGGGUUCAGAGACUGGGGCGACGUGAGGCCGUGCGUUGGCCCUUGGCACGAGGGUAUUGGGCGAUGGCAGACAGUAUGGGCGAUUGAACUUGGGGGCUGAGAAGUUUUAGGACUAGUUGGGCUAAAGUUUAGUUUUGGGCUUGGGUAUAUUGGGCUGUUAUAUUUGUUUAUGGGCCCGGGCAAUAUUGGGUCUGUACAGGUACUUCUAAUACACCACCUAAAACUACCUACAGUCUCUCCCAAACCUAUAAAUAGGAAGAGAAUGUGCUUCAGUUCACUCGAAUCCACGUUCUCUUGUCAUUAGGCCUAAAAUCAAUACCUAGAGCUGUUCAAAUAUUUUUUAAAAUAUUUAAAAAAUUAAAUAAUUAUCAUUACAACCAA